rnacentral:rRNA from 1 species
CGCGGCCUAUCAGCUUGUUGGUGGGGUAACGGCCUACCAAGGCAACGACGGGUAGCUGGCGUGAGAGCGUGGCCAGCCACACUGGGACUGAGAUACGGCCCAGACUCCUACGGGAGGCAGCAGUGGGGAAUCUUGCACAAUGGGCGAAAGCCUGAUGCAGCGACGCCGCGUGAGGGAUGAAGGCCCUAGGGUUGUAAACCUCUUUCAGCAGGGACGAAGCGAAAGUGACGGUACCUGCAGAAGAAGCCCCGGCUAACUACGUGCCAGCAGCCGCGGUAAUACGUAGGGGGCGAGCGUUGUCCGGAUUUAUUGGGCGUAAAGAGCGCGUAGGUGGUUCGUAAAGUCGGAAGUGAAAUUCCAGGGCUCAACCCUGGGACGCCUUUCGAUACUUGCGGACUAGAGCACGGUAGGGGGAUCUGGAAUUCCUGGUGUAGCGGUGAAAUGCGCAGAUAUCAGGAGGAACACCGGUGGCAAAGGCGGGAUCCUGGGCCGUUGCUGACACUGAGGCGCGAAAGCUGGGGGAGCGAACAGGAUUAGAUACCCUGGUAGUCCCAGCCGUAAACGAUGGGUGCUAGGUGUGGGAGGCUAUCGACGUCUUCCGUGCCGCAGCUAACGCAUUAAGCACCCCGCCUGGGGAGUACGG